rnacentral:rRNA from 1 species
UACGUGGGGACCAAGCGUUGUUCGGAUUUACUGGGCGUAAAGGGCGCGUAGGCGGCUUGACAAGUCACUUGUGAAAUCUCCGGGCUUAACUCGGAACGGCCAAGUGAAACUGUCAUGCUAGAGUGCAGAAGGGGCAAUCGGAAUUCUUGGUGUAGCGGUGAAAUGCGUAGAUAUCAAGAGGAACACCUGCGGCGAAGGCGGGUUGCUGGGCCGACACUGACGCUGAAGCGCGAAAGCCAGGGGAGCGAACAGG